UGAACAACCAUAUUCCACUUUGGUGAAUAACACUGGGCAUGCUGCAAACAUGAAAGAUGCAUUUGUUUGAAUCUGGAUCCAACAAAGGAAUAAGAAGAAUCCACUCCCAAAUUCACAUGGAAUCUUGAAGGACUUCCCCCCCCUUCCCCCCCCCCGAAAUAGCCAAAAUAUUCUUGAAAAAGAAGAACAAAGUUGGAGGAUUUGCUUCUUGAUUUAAACCUUACUACAAAGUUGCAGUAAUCAAAACAUUGUGAUACAGGCAUAAAGACAGACAUAUAAACCAGUGGAAUAGAAUAGAGAUCCCAGGGAAAAAAACCCUUACUUAUGUGGUCAAAUGAUUUCCAACAGUGGUGCCAAGACUAUUCAGUAGGGGAAAAGACAAUCUUUUCAUCAAUUGGUAGUGGGAAAAUGGUAUGCAUAUGCAGUAGAAUGAUGUCUGACCCUGAAUUUAUGCCAUAAACAAAAUUAAUUCAAAAUGGGUCAAAAACCUCAGCAUAAGAGCUAAAAGUAUAAAAGUAUAAAGAAGUAUAAAAGUAUAAAACUCUUAGAAGAAAACAUAGGGGGAAAGCUUUACGACAUUGUAUUUGGCGGUGGUUUCUUGGAUAUGACAC